UUUUUUUUUUUUUUUCUGGGACAGAGUCUAGCUCUGUCAUCCAGGCUGGAGUACAGUGGCGCGAUCUCGGCUCAUGGCAACCUCCGUCUCCUGGGUUCAAGCAAUUCUCCUGCCUCAGCCUCCCAUGAAGCUGGGAUUACAGGUGUGCACCACCAUGCCCAGCUAAUUUUUGUAUUUUUAGUAAAGAUCACAUUGGCUAGGCUGGUUUCAAACUCCUGACCUCAGGUGAUCCACCUGCUUGGGCCUCCCAAAGUGCUGGGAUUACAGGCAUGAGCCACUGUGCCUAUUCCCCAUUUUACAAUUUUUUAUUUUUAUUUUAUUUAUUUUAUUUUUUAUUUUUUGAGAUGGAGUUUCUCUCUUGUUGCCCAGGCUGAAGUGCAAUGGCGCGAUCUCGGCUCACCACAACCUCUGCCUCCCGGGCUCAAGCGAUUCUCCUUCCUCAGCCUGUAAUACCGAGUAGCUGGUAUUACAGAUAUGUGCCACCACACCCGGCUAAUUUUGUAUUUUUAGUAGAGAUGGGGUUUCUCCUUGUUGGUCAGCCUGGGCAACAAGAGCGAAACUCUCUCUC
rnacentral:lncRNA from 10 species